rnacentral:tRNA from 5 species
GCCCGGGUGGCGGAAUUGGUAGACGCAAGGGACUUAAAAUCCCUCGAGGGUAACCUCAUGCCGGUUCGAUUCCGGCUUCGGGCA